UAUCUGGUUGAUCCUGCCAGUAGUCAUAUGCUUGUCUCAAAGAUUAAGCCAUGCAUGUCUAAGUAUAAGCAAUUUAUACAGUGAAACUGCGAAUGGCUCAUUAAAUCAGUUAUCGUUUAUUUGAUAGUUUCUUUACUACAUGGAAUACCUGUGGUAAUUCUAGAGCUAAUACAUGCUUAAAAUCCCAACUUACGAAGGGAUGUAUUUAUUAGAUAAAAAAUCAAUGUCUUCGGACUUCUGAUGAUUCAUAAUAACUUUUCGAAUCGCAUGGCUUUAUGCUGGCGAUGGUUCAUUCAAAUUUCUGCCCUAUCAACUUUUGAUGGUAGGAUAGUGGCCU
rnacentral:ncRNA from 1 species